AUUCCGUUGGUGAACCAGCGGAGGGAUCAUUACAGGAACUCGCAAGACUCCUAACCCACUGUGAACCUACCCGACGUUGCCUCGGCGGGCGCCCGGCCUCGCGCCGGGCACCAAGCCCGCCGGCGGCCCCCUACUCUGUCUCUGCAGCGUUGUGUCUCCGAGUAUACCAAAACAAGUCAAAACUUUCAACAACGGAUCUCUUGGCUCUA
rnacentral:misc_RNA from 1 species